UUUCGAAUCAUUCACAAUGGGGGGAACCCUGAUGGUGCGACGCCGCGUGGAGGAUGAAGGUCUUCGGAUUGUAAACUCCUGUCAAGGGGGACUAACCAUACGGCUCAUACCCGUAUCUGCAUUAACCCCUAGAGGAAGCAGUGGCUAACUCUGUGCCAGCAGCCGCGGUAAUACAGAGACUGCAAGCGUUACUCGGAUUCACUGGGCGUAAAGGGAGCGCAGGCGGAAUCGUGUGUCGGAUGUGAAAUCUGGAGGCUCAACCUCCAAACUGCAUUUGAAACUGCGGAUCUUGAGUGUCGGAGAGAUAAUCGGAAUUCCUAGUGUAGCGGUGAAAUGCGUAGAUAUUAGGAGGAACACCAGUGGCGAAGGCGGCUUACUGGACUGUAACUGACGUUGAGGCUCGAAAGCGUGGGGAGCAAACA
rnacentral:rRNA from 1 species